rnacentral:ribozyme from 1 species
CACUCACUUCUAUUCCAAGUCGAGGGAGUUGAACAAAAAGCAAAUCCUAUCCCAUCUAAGGUCCUCCCACAAGACCCAUAAG